rfam:Streptococcus sp. FF10 genome assembly, contig: CONTIG000001
GGGAAUAUAGCUCAGUUGGUAGAGCGCCUAGUUGAAGCCUAGGAGGUCGCUGGUUCAAUUCCAGCUGUUCCCA